rnacentral:rRNA from 1 species
CCUACGAGGUGCUGCAGUGGGGAAUAUUGGGCCAUGGGCGCAAGCCUGACCCAGCAAUGCCGCGUGAAGGAAGAAGGCUUUCGGGUUGUAAACUUCUUUGACAGGGGAAGAGCAGAAGACGGUACCCUGAAACCAAGCCACAGCUAACUACGUGCCAGCAGCCGCGGUAAUACGUAGGUGGCAAGCGUUGUCCGGAUUUACUGGGUGUAAAGGGCGUGUAGCCGGGAAUGCAAGUCAGAUGGGAAAUUUGGAGGCUCAACCUCCAAAUUGCAUUUGAAACUGUUUUUCUUGAGUACUGGAGAGGCAGACGGAAUUCCUUGGGUAGCGGUGAAAUGCGUAGAUAUAAGGAGGAACACCAGUGGCGAAGGCGGUCUGUUGGACAGCAACUGACGGUGAGGCGCGAAAGCGUGGGGAGCAAACAGGAUUAGAUACCCCGGUAGUC